AGUCAUGUCCAGUUCUGUAAACAAAUUCUCAACUGCACCAGAAGGCCUGACAGUUAAGAGAACCCAGUGAAGAAACCUUUUGCAGAGAGAGAAAAGAACCCUUUUGAAUGUGAUCAAUCACGCUGAUUUAUUUGGAUGAUUUCUCUUCUGGAUUUCCUUAAACCAGGGAAAACCCAGGUGCAACAGUGACCCGUGACGCAGUAGGGAGGGCUGUUUUCCAUGCCCAGUGAGGCCUGCUCAGCUCCCAUUAGGCCUUUAUGGAUGGCCUGCCUCCCAGCUGGUACCUGGUCCCGUCACAGUCCCAGGACUCUAGACCUCGAGGCAGCCAGGUGGGUGCUACAGAUGGUGACCUCUCGGUGGCACAGCCUGGCGCUGCAGCAGAAUGCAGGGUUGGGGGCGGGGUGAAGAAUGGAGUCUGGAUUGUGCCAAAACAGGAGUUUCUAUGUCUGGUCCUGCCACCGACUGCACCUGCAUUGCUGCGUGACCUUGACAGCUACUCCUUCCACACCUGAACGUCCUCAUCUGGAAACUGGACUUGCCUCCUAGGGUUCCUGCAAAUAUAAAAUGAGCUAAUGCCUUUGAGGUGUUUGCUAUUGUCCUGGCACUUGGCAAACACAUGAUAAAUAUUAGCAAUCACUUGCGAGGGGGUGUGGGGUUCGGGGGAGCUUUGCCCCUCCUCCCCCUCUCCAGGGCUGAGCAGCAGUGAAGAGCUUUCUGCAUAAGAGAGAGCAAGAGAGAUAAAUAAACCCACAUCUUCCUCUGAAA
rnacentral:lncRNA from 1 species